rnacentral:lncRNA from 1 species
CGGAAGCCUGAGGUAUGCACAGGGCUAGUGAGCUAAGAAUAUUCCUCUGUCGCCUUUUCAAGGACAAGGGAAGCCAGGGUGGAGACUGUGCUGAGCUAAGAAACUGAUUUUGCAACAUUGCUAAACUAGCAGACUGGAGAGAUGCUCACAAUUCUCAGAUGAUAUGAGUGUUUCUCUGCAUGGGCAUCAGAGCUGCCACUGCUUGACAUUCCAAGAACUUCCCAGCUACAGGUUCAUCACCUUCUCCUCCCAGGAAAGACAUGUGAGAUUCUGCACAGAGACAGGAAUGUCGUGCCAAAGAGCCUGAAGUCAUGCCAGUGGUGGAGUGCUGAUUGGAACAGACUGGGUUUGGAUGACAUCUCUACUCAUCUGUAAUGGAAGCUGUGUCAAAAAGCAAGAACUGACCACCAUGUACAUCAGCUGGAACCUUUCUGGAAUCCACACAGUGUAAUAAUCCUUAGGAAAAGCUACCUGGGAUUCAGCUGUUACAAUCAGAAGGCCACGAACACUCAACUGGAACCUUUCAUAAUCCCAGUAAAAGGAAAGAUUCAGCUCUUGUCCUGAUUGCAGACUUUGUGUUGGUAUUUUAAAAUCUGUAUCGGCUGGGGGAUGCCAGCUGCCAUAUUGUGAAGACCCUCAAGCAUCCCUGUGGAGAGGUCCCCAUGGCACAGAAAUGGACUCUCAGCCCAAAAGCCAACAAAGAACCAAGGCCUCAAGCCAGCAGCCAUGGGAAUGGGAAUGUGCCAUCUUGGAAGCCAAUCCUGCAGCCCCAGUCAAGCCUUCAGAUGACAGUAGCCCCAGCCAAUAUCUUCACUGGAUCUUACUGAGAGACUAUGUGCCAGCAUGACCCUACUAAACAACUCUCAAAUUUCUGACCCUCAGAAAUUGUGUGAGAUAAUAAUUGUUUUUUGUUUUAAUAUGCUAAGCUUUAGGUUUGUUUGUUACUCCAAAUUAGACAACUAAUUCAGAAUGCAAUAUAUACACUCAGCCAGGUCAACUCCUCUGCUUCUUGAUGCCUGGGGAGAGUGGAGAGAGUGAUGGAUCCCCAUUAUUAUUGCACCCAGGGUACACUGGUCUGGGUUUAGAAUGUCUUGUGCUUUUUCAACCUUCUGUUCCCACAUUUCUCAGUAGUAUGUAUAUUAAACUCUCUUCAGUAACCCACUUUGAGUCUGCCAUUUUUUCCUGUUAGGUUCCCACCUGAAGUGGCUGCCAUGUAACAUCUACACAAACUCCAGCAAGUGGUGGUGGUAUCACCUGUGCUGUGAAUACCUCCCAGUGCAACCAUGCCUAUCACAUUGGAUGAUGCCAUUCAGAGCUGCUAGUGUCAGCAAAGCCAGGCUCCAGUGUCACCAGGGUGGUUUGCCUGCAUCACAGGUUCUUCGCCGACAUCACCAAUGGCUGUGCUGCCCAGGCUUUGCUCUCUCCAGUGCUCCUUUGAUAUUUGCGCGCCCCCCACCUCCUCCUAGGACUCAGAAGUAAGUCAUGUGAGAUGUGCGGGAAAGGAGCCAAGAGAAGGGCAAUUAGAAUCACCCUGAAGCAAAUUUGUCUUUCCAGGAUGUCCUGCCCAGGGCUUUACUGGGGUCUCACAUGAAUAGCUCUUGGCAGUGCCCCAGUGCACUAGAAAUGCUUAUAAAUUCCUGAAUCCCAAUGUGAACAGAGUUUGGGUCAGUCUGGACCCUUGCUU